UCCCUCCCUGCCUGCCUGCCUGCCUGCCUGCAGCCGCAGCGCAGGAGCAGGAGGGAGCGGCGGCGCAGCAGGCAGAGCCGCCCGGCCCGCGCCCGGCGGAGGCAGCAGGGCGGGCGGGCGGGCGGUGGCUGCGCCCGGGCCCCGCCGCCCCGCCGGCAGGCUCCGCCCGUCGCUCCCAUGGCGCCGCGGCCCCGCGCCAGGUGAGGCUGCGCUGCCUGUUGCGCCGCUGGGGCGCGGGCCGAGCCGAGCCGCGCCAGGCUGAGCCGCCGGGGGCGACACGCCGCGAAGUUUUGCGGGAAGGCGCCGCUCCGCGAUGUGUGCUUCUAAGAAGAGUAUUGACCAUGAGGAAGUCCCCGUGUUAGUCCAUUUUUCCUAAUCCCACCAAAGACAAUGAAGCCCCGUUUCAGCUUUGCUGGUCCUUUUACCACCACUGUUGGCUGAAUGAGAAAUGGUCGUGUGAUUAUGCUGACACCCCAGCAUGCAUUUGGUAGACCUGUGGUUAACUCGUUCCCUCUCCAUGUGUCUGCUCUUACAAAGUUUUGUCCUCAUGAUACUGUGCUUUCAUUCUGCCAGUAUGUGCCCGAAAGGCUGCCUCUGUUCUCACUCCGGAGGUCUGAAUGUCAGCUGUAGCAAUGCGAACCUCAAGGAAAUACCCAGAGAUCUUCCUCCAGAAACAGUCUUACUUUAUUUGGACUCCAAUCAGAUAACGUCAAUCCCCAAUGAGAUUUUUAAGGACUUGCACCAACUGAGAGUCCUCAAUUUAUCAAAAAAUGGGAUUGAAUUUAUAGAUGAACAUGCCUUUAAAGGGGUGGCAGAAACCUUGCAGACUCUGGAUUUGUCUGACAACCGGAUUCAAAGCGUGCACAAAAACGCUUUCAACAACUUAAAGGCCAGAGCCAGAAUUGCAAACAAUCCCUGGCACUGUGACUGCACGCUGCAGCAGGUGUUGAGGAGCAUGGCCUCCAACCAUGAGACGGCCAACAACGUCAUCUGCAAGACCUCUGUGCUGGAUGAACACGCGGGGAGACCAUUCCUCAACGCUGCCAACGAUGCUGACCUCUGCAACCUUCCUAAAAAGACUACCGAUUACGCCAUGCUGGUCACCAUGUUUGGCUGGUUCACCAUGGUGAUCUCAUACGUGGUUUAUUACGUCCGGCAAAAUCAGGAGGAUGCAAGGAGGCACCUUGAGUACUUGAAAUCCCUGCCAAGCAGGCAAAAGAAACCAGACGAAGCCGAUGACAUUAGCACUGUGGUAUAGUAUUCUGAAUACAAUGACUGCCUUUGUGAUGGAAACUAGAUUUGGAUGACAUUAAAACCAGAGGUUUACUUCUAACGUUCAUUGUAAACAUUAAGACUUUUGGGGUUUUUUUUUCUGUUUAACUGAAUUACGCCACUGUUGAGCUUUCUAACAGAAAGUUUUGUCCGGGUGGUAUACUUUAAUUAUUUCUCUGGUGGUAUCCUAAAGCAAGUGAAUUAAUAGAAUUAAUUAGACCCAUUCCACUAUUUAAUAACGAAAUUUAUUUUUUUAAUUUAAAAACCAAAUAAAAGCUUAAAUUUGAACCAUGUAAACCAGAGUAAUUUAUUGAUCAGAAACCUGUCCAGUGCCAGAGCACGCUUGGUUUGAUUAGUGCUCACAAGGUAGAAGAGUAGAGCAAUGGCAAAGUGGGCUGUGAGAGGUCCUGGAGUAGAGAGUCCCUGAAGGGCACCUCGGUCCCUGGGGUGCAAGGUGAAGAGUUCAUGAAUGGUAGCCCAUUUUUGGGGCUGCUCGCCAUGACGGGAGAGGGGUGCAGUGUGAUGAGAGCAGAAUGCCCUGAGUCUGGGUGUAAGGGUUCGAUGAUUGGGUAAGACCCCGGAGGGCGUUUCGGCAGUGCUGGGGAGAAGCCAACAUGAAGGAGCUGCAUUGCAGGACAUCGAAGAGAGGUGUUGGAUUGAGCAAAAAGGAGAACCAAUUUUUCGGGACAAACUGAGAAGAUGCCUGUGAAAGGCGCUGCAUGGUCUGGCUGAAGAUUUGGAGAGUGAGCAGCAGGCAUCCCUCACUGCAGGCCUGAUGAAGCUGAUUCUGAUGAACUGUGUUUGAAACACCAUUUCUCAACCCUUGUGGAAAACCACAUCGGUUCAUGACACGUAGGCUUCAGCUGUUCCAGCCUCCUGUCGCCGUGUGUGUGUGUGUGCGCGCACUUGCGUGGGUGCGGUACCAUUCACCUCAGCUAGGCCUUGCUGGUAGGAGAGCAGGAAUGUAUAUGUCCGACAUUGUGGGUUAGUGCAUAUACAGCAAUAUCCCGGGGAAGCUAUCCACAGGCUUACUGGGCAGUGGGUGGGAGAGGGUCAGAGGGUGCUGGCCAUGUUCAUGUGCGGUUCCUCUAUUGAUAUAAAAGGUUCAUGAUUAUUUUGUCUUCUGUUCUCUUGCUGGCCUAAUACUGGAACUUCUUUCUGUAAAAAUGAAGGCAGAGUAAUUAAAUCAUUACUUAUCACUGCCAUAAUGCAGAAGCACUUAAUUACUGCAUGUUAUAUGUCACGUCAGUGCCUGCCAGGUUGCUUUUGUCUGAGGCCACUUCCCCAGGGCAAGGAGUCAGCCAAGUUCUCGGUGCCUCCCUGCCCAACUGCGGGGCACCUGCCUCUGAGCAAAACACGCCUUGCUUGCCUGACAGCUAUGCUCAGGGGGUGUGUGGGGGUUCUCCAUGUCCUUCAGUGGCAAACUAUCUGCCUGUGUCUCAGACAUUGUGCAUUUCCACAUGUAAAGUUCAUCUCUUAUCGGAGAGAAGUGAUCAGGCAGAGGGACAGGGCGAGGGGUGACGGGAAUUUGCUGCUUGUUUUCCCAGGGAGAAAGGAGUAGCUGGGGUAGAUGAAGGAGGACCUGAUUUGAAGCAAGGGAUUACAGGAAUGGCUGGAAAAGCCAUUAAAACCCAGAAACCUGAUAGUGUGUAUAUGGGAGAAGCCCUGAGCUCUCUGCAGAGAGGGAAGGAAGGGGUGGGAGAGGCUGAGGUAAGGUGACUACCUGGAGAGGAUGCUCUGCAUGGGGACAUGCAUUCAUUUGGGCAGCUGCUGGGGAUGGAGAGGGAGAUGCAGAGGGAAGUCCCCUGUUCAGUCACUUUGACACUUGCUGGCACCGUGACUUGUUUUCUACCUCCCGCAACACCAUCGAUGCUGCUCCCUGCUCCAGAAAGGCCGUUUGAUGCCAAAGCUGACCUGGGAGAGAGGGGUGUUAGAAUGCUUAUGCUCCUGAUGAGGAGAUAAGUUCCCCAGUCCCACCAGGACCUGGCCAGAGUGUUUCUUCCUUGCCACCUGCAGCCUCUGAGGCCUCCGUGUCAUGGUGACCUGGGAUGGUGGGAGGCAUCUCACCACUGGCCCUGCUCCUGCUGCGAAGCUGGUUCCCACUGAGUGGGGUGGGGGAGAAGAGAUGCCAACUUCUGCGGUAGCUGCUGAGUUGAUCAGCCUCUGCCACAUUGCCACCCCACAGCUUGCCUGAUGCUUGGCUCUUCCCUGCCCAGCCCUCAUCAACUCUGAAAAGGAAAGAUAUUUUUCUUUUCAGGCAGCAAAUUGUAAAUAAUGUCCGUGCUCCACUCUCCCACAGAAAGGUGUUUAAACCAGCUGUACGUGUCUUUCAAAAUGCAGGGAAGAUGUAGUGAAGAAGGGAGCAGGCUGUAUAAAUCAAGUCAUCCUUUGCAUGCUUCUCCCUGCUUUGUCUAUCUUUUUAAAAAUUCAUAAGCUGGGAGACCACCUACCCUGCUGUAAUGCCUUCCUGGGUGAAAUCCAAAAGUGUAGAGGGUCAGAUCCUUACCUGCAGUAGUUUAAUGUAAUUCCAUUAAAAUCAAAGGAGCUGUUCUCAUUUAUCAUAGUGAAGGUCCUCUUGCAGAAAGCAUUUUUAACUGCCAGUAUCCUCACUGAGCACGAGGGAAAGAAAUCCAUGGUAAUUAGGGGGGAAUAUUUAGCCCAUCUAGUUUAAAGGUGUUCCUAUUUCAGUUGUGCUUAGGGGUUCCUAUCAAAGGAAAAGGUACUGAUACAAGGGUUUGGGUUGGCACAAGUUUAUUUCUGGAUUGACUUAAGCUGUCAGGGCUAAGUAGAUCAAGAAGAAUAGCAUUCAAAUUAUGAGAGCUUCAAGGCUUUGUAGAUAACAAAGAGAAUCUAAUUUUAAUUAUGAUCUUCAGUGAAUUUUGAAAAGGUCAUAUUUUUUUUUAUCGGCACGUAGAAGGACAAGGAGCAUCUACAUGAACUCUUUCCCCACCUUAAAGGUAGUAGCAUUCCUGGCUUUUAGCCCAAAGUCUGGGAAGGCCAAUAUGACUUUGUUUUUCCCUAGCAUUAUCUGGUACAACAUUAAAAAUGUCAUUGCUGCACUGCAAGGGCAGUAAAGCAGGGCUAAGAGUGAGCAGCUAUAAUCUAACUAGAAACUACUAGGGACAGGUGAAGACUCAUGUCUCUGCUCCUUCUUCUUGUAAGAGCAUGCUAGUUUACCACAAAGACAUGGGGGCAGAAGAAGCAAGAAGCCUCUGUGUGUUCAGAAGGCCUAUUAUGCCCCUAUUAGUUUUGCUAUGUAUUUAUCCUCUGGAAAGUUGACAGCGGAGCAAUUAGUCCACCCAGCUAUACAUAUAUAUAAAUUGCCUCUCUGUGUGUGUGAAUAAAUACACAUAUACAGCAGGGUGAGUGGUAUCUUGUGAGUGCAAAUUGAUGUGUACUGAACUGUAUUUUCUGAUUUUUUUUCCUCCAAGUUUUUUACCCUCCCACCAAUUCUUAGCAUGUUGCUGUGGCUAAAUCAUUCCUGAACUUUUUGGCAUGUCACAUUAAUUGUUUGCCAGUGAACAAAGUCUGAUUAGCAAGUUUCUAAAACAGAACUUGUGAGAUGCUCUACCUUUCAGGCUAAAAGACAAAAUUGUUUUUCAGUUGACUCAAGAUAUACCUCCAUCCCAGUUUGGAGGUACCUCCCUCACCCAACAAGAUUUAAAAACUUUAAGCAACUUUUAAAAUACCAGUCUCAGGCUUUGCCUUAACUUUAAAACUGUACUUUUGAACCAGAGGUUAAUUAACUCUAGUGGUUAUAAUGGUAGUAUUAUGUCCCUUGCUUCUAUGAGGAAUUUACAGAGUGUGCUGGUUUUGGCUGGGAUAGAGUUAAUUUUCUUCACAGUAGCUGGUAUGGGGCUGUGUUUUGGAUUCAUGCUGGAAACAGUGUCGAUAAUACAGGGCUGUUUUAGUCACUGUUGAGCAGUGCUUAUGCACAGUCAAGACCUUUUCUGCUUCUCACCCCACCAGUGAGUAGGCUGGGGGUGCACAAGGAGUUGGGAGGGGACACAGACAGGACAGCUGACCCAAACUGACCAAAGGGAUAUUCCAUACCAUAUGAUGUCA